UACGGGAGGCAGCAGGGGGAAUAUUGCACAAUGGGCGAAAGCCUGAUGCAGCUAUGCCGCGUGUAUGAAGAAGGCCUUAGGGGUUGUAAAGUACUUUCAUCGGGGAGGAAAAACAAAACUAAUAAUUUUAUUUCUUGACGUUACCCGAAAAAGAAGCACCGGCUAACUCCGUGCCAGCAGCCGCGGUAAUACGGAGGGUGCUAGCGUUAAUCAGAAUUACUGGGCGUAAAGAGCACGUAGGUGGUUUUUUUAAGUCAGAUGUGAAAUCCCUGGGCUUAACCUAGGAACUGCAUUUUGAAACUGAAAUACUAGAGUAUCGUAGAGGGAGGUAGAAUUCUAGGUGUAGCGGUGAAAUGCGUAGAUAUCUGGAGGAAUACCUGUGGCGAAAGCGGCCUCCUAAACGAAUACUGACACUGAGGUGCGAAAGCGUGGGGAGCAAACGAGGGAUUAGAUACCCGU
rnacentral:rRNA from 1 species